GAUGACCUUCAAACGUCUGGACCUGAUGAGCCAUACCCUUUGGGAGAGGAAAGGAAGAUUAUGUUAAAUAUUAUAAAAGGACGGCCAAGUUAAAACCACAACCACUUUCCACCACAGGAACCCAUGUUCUACAGCCAGCAACAGUGUGCUGUAUCAAUUCAAUUGUGUGCUCUGAAUAAACUUGCACAGAUGUAA